rnacentral:lncRNA from 1 species
GGCUUGCAUCGCCUUGGACCCGAUACUCCCGUCGGUUCCCACGUCCGGCUCGUUCACGCCGCGGCUCUUCUGGUUCGGUACGGUCAGUGUCCGAGUUGUCCUCACUGGAUUGGGACUGUUCUUCUGGAAUGGGUUGAUUUCUCCUCCUCGGCCGGGGAGCAUUAGCUCGAUCCCUCCCAGCUAUAUGAGCCAGCUGCUCAGUUACAGUAGCCAGUGCGGCUUGGAGUUCAGCAUGGUUAGCCAUCAGUUGAGCAUUGAUCUCGGCUUGUGUUGGUGCUCCAUUUAGAUCUCCCAUGUCGCCUGUGACAAAAGAGGAAGAAAGAAAAGUGAUCUGCAAGGGAUCAAAGAAAAAGGAGGAAGAUACCUAAAUAGAUAUGCAAUUGAAUGUUAAACUUCCUUUUUUUUUUUUUUUAUAAGUUUUCGAAAAUUAAAAUAUGGAAAGUAUAAACUUCCCUUUUUUUUUUUAAAAAAAAUUUUGGAAAAACUUGGAGUGCAAUCCAAGGAAAAAUUAAAUGCAAUUAAAUGGAAAUCCGCAAAAUCGAUGGAUCAAGAUAUGCCAAAAGGAAAAAUAUGGUUUUGAACUCGCCAAGAACAGCAAGAACACAAUGCAAUUUUUUUGAAGUUCAAAGGAAUGAAACAAGCAAUUAACAAAAAGCCAAAAGGAUAGAAUACAACCGAAGGUGUAGGAGCUUUGAGCUCUG